AUACAACCAGAUUCAUAUGGCAUUCUCUAGAUUAGCACUGUCCAAUAGAGCUUUCUGAGACAGUGGAAAUGUCCCAGAUCUGCACUGUCCAAUACUAUAACUACCAGCCACGUGUAGUUGUUGAGCACUUGAAAUGUGACUAGUAUGUCUGAGGAACUGAAUUUUUAAUUUUAUCUGAUUUUAAAUAAUUUAAUUUUAAAUAGCUACAUGUGGCUAGCGGCUAUUAUAUUAGAUAGCACAGGUUUAAAAAACUGAAAACUCAUACGAGAGUGAUUUUGUUUACCAAACCAAAAUAUUAAAACCUGAAAAUGUCAAAAGAAAACUUCAGUCUUUCUAGUUGAAUUACAUAUAAGUAACUUGUUAUUUAUAUAAGUGUGUUUCAGUGGUUAUAUACUUUUCAGGUUCAGAAAAACCAUGCUCCCAGACCCUUAUACAGUGAAUAAAUCAUAAGUAUUAUAUCUUAAUAGAGGAUUCUACUUCCCUCCAUUCUGUAUGCUGAUUAUAAAAAUUAACCAGAGCAAUUUAGUCAUAUCAACCACAGGCUGGUUUGUAAUUUUUCUGCUUACAUUUGCCUACAGGUCCUUUCUAGAAGCGCCAGAUCAGAGGUUGAGUUUCCUGGAAGAAAUAUCAUAAAGUCUGAAAGGACACACCAGGGAAUCUUGAUUAUGGACCCUAUAGGGAAUGAAAUGAUAAGUUGAACCGUGGCAGGACAAACAUCAGCGCAGACAUGGUAGUCAGGCUGCAUGGAACAGCUGAGUCAGGACUGCCAGCACAUUCCUCCUCCAGAGCAGAGGUCGGCGUGGAAGUGACUGCUGAACCCAAGCUCUUUGGAUCAAGUUCAGUACCUAUAAAUAGGCCUACUGAUUUACAUUUUCUUUUGUUAACUACUUUAAAUUACAAAACAUUUUGUUUUUUAAAUGACCAUCCCAAUUCUCCUAAUUCUGGGAUAGACUUUGUAUAGAUAACACAUCUGUUGGACUCAGUAAGGCUGGAGGAGCCUUAGGAUAUGUAACUAACUGAGUUUGUGCCCCUUCCCUGGAUACCAGGAGGUCCCUUCUAUUGAAGUUUUC
rnacentral:lncRNA from 1 species